AGCGAACGCUGGCGGCAGGCUUAACACAUGCAAGUCGAGCGGGCACUUUCGGGUGUCCGCGGCGGACGGGUGAGUAACGCGUGGGAACGUGCCCUCUGGUUCGGAAUAACUCAGGGAAACUUGAGCUAAUACCGGAUACGCCCUUUUGGGGAAAGGCUUGCUGCCGGAGGAUCGGCCCGCGUCUGAUUAGCUAGUUGGUGAGGUAACGGCUCACCAAGGCGACGAUCAGUAGCUGGUCUGAGAGGAUGAUCAGCCACACUGGGACUGAGACACGGCCCAGACUCCUACGGGAGGCAGCAGUGGGGAAUAUUGGACAAUGGGCGCAAGCCUGAUCCAGCCAUGCCGCGUGAGUGAUGAAGGCCUUAGGGUUGUAAAGCUCUUUUAUCCGGGACGAUAAUGACGGUACCGGAGGAAUAAGUCCCGGCUAACUUCGUG
rnacentral:rRNA from 1 species